AACACGUCAUUCCAUGGCGUUCGCGGGAUGGUCGUGUGUGCAGAUGGAGAAGUGGUGGCACAGUGUUUAGAAAAUAAAAACACUACCCUGGACCCACAGUUCAUGCCACAGUGUCAGUGAGACCCUCUGCUGUGUCGGCGUAUUUUGAGGCCUCAGGUAUAACACAGUGAACGAGACAGAGCCGGCCCUGCCUCGUGAAGCCCACCUCCUAGCAGGAAGCAACGACAAUGAUGCGAGGGACUCGCCACCUCAGUGGGGAGGCUGGGCCUCUUCUUUCCUGGAUGAUUGAUGCCGAAGAUGACCCCUCCCUAUCCAGAGGUCUGUGGUGUCUGCCACUUUAGGUUCAAAAGGGUCACACAGGAGCUAUACCGGCACACCUGCCUGCGGGGGCAGGAGGGGCAAGGUCCUUUCCUCACUGCAGCCUUGUGGCAUCUCAGAUAAGUCUGCAUCACAGGCUUUCUCUCUGUAGACACCUGCUCAGUGAGUAAGAGCUCAGACUCCGGGGAGAGACAGCAAGUUUUCAAGUCUUAGCCCUGCUGCUUCUUAAAUGAGUCACUUAAGCAUUUCCUGAACUUCCUUGCAUCUCAGUUCUCCAGGUGGAAAUCAGGGACAAGAGCAGCACUCAUCUCUCAGGGGUGUCGCAAGGAUUAAGUGAGAAAAUAAGACGAAAAACAAAAGAAAAGCAGAGGAGACAAGUUACAUAAUCUACGUACUGGAAGACUAAGCAUUUUUAUUUCUCAUUGCCGUUUGAAUUGAAAGGAACACUCAGUCCUGGAACAUGGUAAUUCGUCUCCUGUUUCUUUGUCCGAGACUACAAGUAGGAGAUAGUUCAGAGCGGUUGUUGCCAAUCAGAAAAUACAACAAAGCCGUGUAAACUUCUCAUUUGUUUACUGGCCACUUCCCUGGCAUCUCAGACAUCCUGUUAGCUCUCAGAGGCUCCAUCCAGGCACACCUAGGGUCCUUCAGAGGAAAAGGGGCCUCUGAAAAGUCUCCUCUUUUUAUUCUCUGAACAUGUCAUAGUUGAGUUUUUAAAGUGCUCUCCACCCUUGUUUGUUUCUUAAUGCAGUACCAAGAUGUAAUUUGUAUGGAAGCCAAAACUGGAGACAUGCUGAAUAUGUGAAUACCAAGGAAGUGGUUUCCUUAGCAAUAACAGGCAUGUGAAAGUCAAAACUUCCUUUCC
rnacentral:lncRNA from 1 species